UUAAGAUUCAAAUACGAGACAUGACACCAUAAAGCUCCUAAGAGAGAGAGCAGGCAGACAUUCUCUGACAUAAAUGGUAGCAAUGUUUUCUUAGGUCAGUCUCCCAAGGCAAUAAAAAUAAAAGCAAAAUAAACAAAUGGGACCUCAUCAAAUUGAUAAGCUUUUGCACAGCAAAGGAAACCAUAAACAAAAUGAAACAACCGUCUAUAGUCUAAGAGGAAAUAUCACAAAUGAUGUGACCGACAGGGGCUUAGUUUCCAAGAUAUACAAACAGCUCAUACAAUUCAAUAAUAAAAAAACAACCCAGUUGAAACAUGGGCAGAAGAAAUAAGUAGACAUUCCUCCAAAGAAAACAUACAGAUGGCCAACAGACUCGGGAAAACAGCACGGAGGUUCCUCAGGAAACUGAAAACGGAGCUGGCGUGUGGCCCAGCAGGCCCACUCCUGGGCAAGUCUCUGGGCUAACUGUGGUCUGGAAAGGUGCCUGCACGCCUGAGUUCACGGCAGCACUGUCCACAGUUCACAACCUAAACGUCCCUCAACGGAUGAGUGGGUAAAGAAGAUGGGCCCAUAUGAACAGUAGAAAACUAGUCAGCCGUCCAAACAAUGAAAUAAUGUUACCUGCAGCAACGUGGAUAGACCCAGAGAUGAUCAUACCGAGGGGAGAAAAUCAGGAAGAGAAACUCAAAUAGCAUGCGACAUCACUCAUGUGUGAAACCUGAAGCAUGACGCCAGCGAGUUCACCUGUGAAAGCAGCAGGGAACAGACCCAUAGGGAACAGACUCGUAGGGAACAGACUCGUAGGGAACAGACUCGUAGGGAACAGGCCCGUAGGGAGCAGACUCAUAGGGAACAGGCCCAUAGGGAACAGACUCGUAGGGAACAGACUCGUAGGGAACAGGCCCGUAGGGAACAGACUCGUAGGGAACAGGCCCGUAGGGAACAGGCCCGUAGGGAACAGACUCGUAGGGAACAGACUCGUAGGGAACAGGCUCGUAGGGAACAGGCCCGUAGGGAACAGACUCGUAGGGAACAGGCUCGUAGGGAACAGGCCUGUAGGGAACAGACUCGUAGGGAACAGACUCAUAGGGAACAGGCCCGUAAGGAACAGGCCCGUAGGGAACAGACUCGUAGGGAACAGACUCAUAGGGAACAGGCCCGUAAGGAACAGGCCCAUAGGGAACAGACUCGUAGGGAACAGGCUCGUAGGGAACAGGCCCGUAGGGAACAGACUCGUAGGGAACAGACUGG
ensembl:lncRNA